UGUGCCUAUAAGUAUACUACAUGGCCCAGGGACAUGUUCGUGGUCCUGGAGGAAUCUGACCUAUGGUUUUACGUUGUGUUUUUGCUGCAGAUCUGAGAGCCACAGCUCCCAGACAGUGCUGUUGAAUUCCACAUCCCACAGGGUCAAGCUUCCAACUCCACUUCCCCCCACAAGUCCGCCUUAACCAUCCGAUGCACACAUCUGUCUCUUACCCAGACCAUACCACACCAGGGGACUAAAGAGUGUUGUUCUCACAGCACAGCUGAGACCAUGGGAGAUGAGAGGCGUGUCUGUCAGGAGUGGGGCUUGCUGUAAGCUCAAGAAAAGGAAUUGCCAUUUCGUCCUUUCAAGUCUGACCCUGAAGAUUCUGUCUGCUCAUUCUUGGCAAUGGUGAAUUGCUCCUUAGUUACAGAGAGAACAGCAGAAGGCACCAAGAACUGCUGUAUCCCUAGCUCAGAGGACAGCGGGAGAAGCCCAGCAUCCAUUACCUUCUGCCUCCCUUUGAGACCACAGAAGUCCAUAAUCACCCAAGACAUCCUUCCCCAGUGAUGGAAGACGGCAGCGGCCAGCAAGCCCCACUACUCUCAGCAACAGCUUCAUAUUUUAGAUUUUGAGUUCUUUUUUAACAAAGUACAGAGUCGUAACAUUUAUCCUAAAGGGACAAUAACCGGAUUCCCUCUUCAUAGCUGCUUUUCUUUCAGAAAUUAUUUCCAUUCCUGAAAUAUAGGCAAAGCAAUUUCUUGUAUUCUUCUUCGUCUCUCUCAAUGUAAAAACGGCUGCAUUUGUUAUAAAUGUAAACUAUCUAAAAUAUAGUUUGGAAACUCGUUUUAAAAGAACUGGCAUACAUGUCUAAUAAGCCUUGUGCUGUAUUUAAGAAGAAAAGCCAGAAUAAUAGAGCCGUAAAAUUACACACUGUCAAAGGUAGAAAAGACAAUAGAGAAUAUGGAAAUCAAUGUUUUUUCAAUUGCUGUUGGACUUGAAAUGGCUUUAAUGUGACAACCAGUAUUUUAUGAAUGUAAUGGAAUAGAAAACACUAGACUAUAUCAUCAGACCUAGUCAAGUUUUGUUUGGUCAAGUUUUGACACACUUAAAAUACAUCAAAGCUACAGAAUUAUGUAAACAACUGUGCACAGUAGAGAAGCAUAUUCAUCUAUAUGAACACGAUGAUUUAUGAUUGGUUAUUUUGAUGUCCUGUUUAAUUUAGAAAUAGUCCGUGGAAAAUGAAAAUUGACUGAAAAAAACUAUUCAAUAUUUAUUGAGCAUCUAAAUGUGCAAGCGUCUGUGCAAAAAUAAUUCACUGAAAUAUUGAUUAUUAGGCUCUACAAUUAUUAAAGGUAUUCAGUUUGUAACUUUAAAGCGCUCAGAAAGAAAAUACCUAGGCCCAGAACACAUUAAUGGUGUACUCCAUGAAACGUUUAAAAAAGAAAUAGCAAAGUUGUUUUUGCAUGAUUUCCCCUUCCCCCUAAAAAAUUAAGAAUGGCAGACUUUCAUUUCAUUUUACGAGGCUAGUAUUUACCUGAUACCCAAAUCAGACCAAUAGGACUUAUCAUUUUAUACACCAAAAUCCUCAACAAAAUACUAGUAUCCUGGUUGGUGUUUCAUGGCCAACUUGACCCAAGACAGUUAUCUGAGAAGAGGGAACUACAACUGAGAAAAUGCCUCCACAAGACUGCCCUGUGGGGCAUCUUCUUACUUAGU